rfam:Salmo salar isolate Sally breed double haploid chromosome ssa25, whole genome shotgun sequence.
UCCCGUGUGGCUCAGUUGGUAGAGCAUGGUGUUUGCAACACCAGGGUUCUGGGUUUGAUUCCCACGGGGGGA